rnacentral:lncRNA from 1 species
ACACACAUCUGAGGACCUCAAUACAAUUAUAUAUUGCAUGUCAUGCCGUUUUAUAAUGUAUUGAGAAACUUCGACAGUCUCGGACCAUCACACUAUUCCCCUGUUAUCCCCGCUCGACCCAGCUACACUUUUAUUACCUGAAAGGAAUUGUGAAACAAAAGGGUGAGCAUAACUAGCCCAGUAAAGAAUAUCAUGACUAAAGAUAAUUAAAAUAUCAAUAGCCUUCAUCAUUUAUAAAUCAGAGAUUUAGAACAUAUGGCAGAUGAUAAAACUUUUCAACCAUAGUUGCAGCGGAACGAACA